AUACUUAACCUGGCAGGGGAGGUACCACGAUCACGAAGGUUUUCCCAGGGCGAGGCUCAUCCAUUGCCCUCCAGAUGUGCUGACCCCUGCGAUUCCCCCAAAUGUGGGAGACUUGACUGCACAAUUUGUGGUAGUGGUGGGACAGUGUUCGCGCUCUCCCCGG